rfam:Salmo salar isolate Sally breed double haploid chromosome ssa23, whole genome shotgun sequence.
AAUGCACCAAUUUGUAAGUCGGUCUGGAUAAGAGCGUCUGCUAAAUGACUUAAA